rnacentral:rRNA from 1 species
UAUAGAUGGAUCCGCGCUGCAUUAGCUAGUUGGUAAGGUAACGGCUUACCAAGGCAACGAUGCAUAGCCGACCUGAGAGGGUGAUCGGCCACACUGGAACUGAGACACGGUCCAGACUCCUACGGGAGGCAGCAGUAGGGAAUCUUCCGCAAUGGGCGAAAGCCUGACGGAGCAACGCCGCGUGAGUGAUGAAGGUCUUCGGAUCGUAAAACUCUGUUAUUAGGGAAGAACAUAUGUGUAAGUAACUGUGCACAUCUUGACGGUACCUAAUCAGAAAGCCACGGCUAACUACGUGCCAGCAGCCGCGGUAAUACGUAGGUGGCAAGCGUUAUCCGGAAUUAUUGGGCGUAAAGCGCGCGUAGGCGGUUUUUUAAGUCUGAUGUGAAAGCCCACGGCUCAACCGUGGAGGGUCAUUGGAAACUGGAAAACUUGAGUGCAGAAGAGGAAAGUGGAAUUCCAUGUGUAGCGGUGAAAUGCGCAGAGAUAUGGAGGAACACCAGUGGCGAAGGCGACUUUCUGGUCUGUAACUGACGCUGAUGUGCGAAAGCGUGGGGAUCAAACAGGAUUAGAUACCCUGGUAGUCCACGCCGUAAACGAUGAGUGCUAAGUGUUAGGGGGUUUCCGC